rnacentral:rRNA from 1 species
AUUGAACGCUGGCGGCAGGCUUAACACAUGCAAGUCGAGCGGGGUGAUGGUGCUUGCACUAUCACUUAGCGGCAGACGGGUGAGUAAUGCUUAGGAAUCUGCCUAUUAGUGGGGGACAACAUCUCGAAAGGGAUGCUAAUACCGCAUACGUCCUACGGGAGAAGGCAGGGGAUCACUUGUGACCUUGCGCUAAUAGAUGAGCCUAAGUCGGAUUAGCUAGUUGGUGGGGUAAAGGCCUACCAAGGCGACGAUCUGUAGCGGGUCUGAGAGGAUGAUCCGCCACACUGGGACUGAGACACGGCCCAGACUCCUACGGGAGGCAGCAGUGGGGAAUAUUGGACAAUGGGGAGAACCCUGAUCCAGCCAUGCCGCGUGUGUGAAGAAGGCCUUAUGGUUGUAAAGCACUUUAAGCGAGGAGGAGGCUCUUUUGGUUAAUACCCAGAAUGAGUGGACGUUACUCGCAGAAUAAGCACCGGCUAACUCUGUGCCAGCCGCCGCCGUAACAC